rnacentral:rRNA from 1 species
GAUGAACGCUAGCGGCAGGCCUAACACAUGCAAGUCGAGGGGUAGGAGCAGCUUGCUGCUUUGAGACCGGCGCACGGGUGCGUAACGCGUAUGCAAUCUACCUUAUACUAAGGGAUAGCCCGGAGAAAUCCGGAUUAAUACCUUAUGGUUUUUAUGAAUAGCAUUAUUUAUAGAAUAAAGAUUUAUCGGUAUAAGAUGAGCAUGCGUCCCAUUAGUUAGUUGGUGUGGUAACGGCACACCAAGACGAUGAUGGGUAGGGGUCCUGAGAGGGAGAUCCCCCACACUGGUACUGAGACACGGACCAG